GACGAACGCUGGCGGCGUGCUUAACACAUGCAAGUCGAACGGUAAGGCUCUGCGUUUGUGGUGGGCGCGAGUGGCGAACGCGUGAGUAACACGUGAGUAACCUGCCCUUGUCUUUGGGAUAUCUUCAGGAAACUGGGGCUAAUACCGGAUAUGAGCUCUUGCAGCACGGUGGGGUGUGUGGAGUUUCGGCGGUUGGGGAUGGACUCGCGGCCUAUCAGCUUGUUGGUGGGGUAGUGGCUUACCAAGGCGUUGACGGGUAGCCGGCCUGAGAGGGUGACCGGCCACACUGGGACUGAGAUACGGCCCAGACUCCUACGGGAGGCAGCAGUGGGGAAUAUUGCACAAUGGGCGGAAGCCUGAUGCAGCAACGCCGCGUGCGGGAUGACGGCCUUCGGGUUGUAAACCGCUUUCGCCUGUGACGAAGCGUGAGUGACGGUAAUGGGUGAAGAAGCACCGGCUAACUACGUG
rnacentral:rRNA from 1 species